UAUCUCUGUAGAGUCUGCAUAUCAAUAAGCGGAGGAAAAGAAACUAACAAGGAUUCCCUUAGUAACGGCGAGUGAAGCGGGAAGAGCUCAAAUUUGAAAUCUUCAAGGUUCUACCUUGACGAAUUGUAGUUUAAAGAAGUGUUUUCUGUUAGAUGAGUAGCAAAAGUUCCUUGGAAUGGGACAUCAUAGAGGGUGAGAAUCCCGUAUUUGGUUAUUCAUUCUAGCUUUGUGAUACACUUUCAAAGAGUCGGAUUGUUUGGGAAUGCAGUCCAAAAUGGGUGGUAAAUUUCAUCUAAAGCUAAAUAUUGGCGAGAGACCGAUAGCGAACAAGUACCGUGAGGGAAAGAUGAAAAGAACUUUGAAAAGAGAGUUAAACAGUACGUGAAAUUGUCAAAAGGGAAGCGUUUGACACCAGUGUUGUUUUUCCGAAAAUCAAUUACGAAUGGCUUGAUUCUGUGUUGUAUUGACCUUAUCAGCUUUCUUCACUUUUUUCGAGUCUUUCUUAAUGCACUUUUCGGUUAACGAGUCAACAUCAAUUUCUUUUGUUGUAAAAGAGUAUUCGGAAGGUGGCUUUCUUUUCGGAGAAAGUGUUUAUAGCCCUAUACUUCUACAAUCGGAGAGAUUGAGGUCUGCAGCGUAGAUCCUUCGGGGUUAGAUACACUUGUGCUAAGUUGUAGCUUUUCAUAGACAACUUGUUGACUAUGUUUAGUCAUGCGGCUUACUCGCUUGUGCUAUUUUACCUACGCUUAGGAUGUUGACUGAUAUGUAGUCGUA
rnacentral:rRNA from 1 species